GGUUGUGUGUUUGUAGCUAUGGAGCUGAAGCGGUUUGGAAUUUUGUAUCGGUCAAAGCGGUUUGCUCUUCUUUCUUCUCUCCCAAAUCCCGUGAGCACAUGGUCCCUCACUCCCGAGAUCUAUCCGCCGGCCGGAGUUCCUCCAAGAUCCCGCUUGGAGGCUGUGGGAGGGUGGGAGGAGUCGUGGUCUCUAGAUUUUGGUGUGCUUUUCGGCCCUCUCAGUGGUGUCGCUGGGGAUCUCGCGCGGCUAGCCACACCACUUCCCGUCGCGCUCCAGCAACAGCAGUCCGGCCCACAGGAUUCCCGAACGGCCGCCCUCCGUUCCGCUGCUCGACUCGGCUGCCGCGCUACUACCGCUGGACCGCCCUUCCUCCCAAUAGCCGCUACAGUCCUGCCGGCCGCCAAUUGAGACGAAGCUCGGCUGCACCGGUUGCUGGCCGCUGCUCGAUUCGGCGGCCAGCCACAACCAACGCUGGCCGCACCGCUCGAUUCCGCGCCCACUCUCCAGCGAUGCCGCUCUUAUGCGUCUCCACCUCCGGCCACCACUGUUCUGCAUCUCCUAGACGGCUGCGCACUUGGAUAGAGCCGCUUCGUCCAUCGGACGCCUGCGCUGCUCCGCCUCCGCCUGACCACGCAGUCGCCGAGGAUGGCCGCUCUCCGUGCGACCAUGGUCAACCGGCGUUGCGGUGCACGUGACGAGCUCGCGCUCCUUCCGCGUCACCUUCUCCGCCUCGGCGUCAUCCUUCAAGUUCAAGGAUCCGUGCGACCAUGGUCAACUGGUGGCACAGCGCACACGGUGAGUUCGGCCUGCCUAGGAGCGGGCAUUCAAGGCAUGGUAGGCCUACAUGUAUUCCCGGCCGUUUGCGGUCUGUUCUGCUUGCUGUUCCUCCCGUUCCAGGCACAAUUGGCAUGCUUCACAAGGUGCUGCAGUUGGUAGUGCCUCGGCUCUAAGAUCGAUCAAUUAUUCCUGUCUUCUAAUCCUGCUAUUUCUGGUUAUUCUUUGGUCAAUUUCGUGCCUAUUUCUCGGGUAGUACUUUGUGCUUUGUCUGACGCCAAAGCUUGGAGGCAGGAAAUCUUGCAGUAGCCACUGGAUUGAUAAGGCAUAUUGGGAAAGUAAGGAUGCACAUUUCCUUGGUAAAAGAUGUAUCACUCGGAGGCUACCAAUGGAAAUCGUGCGUGUUGGCUCACCUGGGAAUAUAGAGAUUAGGACACACGUCAUCACUUAUACGAGAUGGAUUUUAUUGUCGUCAACCGUGAGAUAAUAUAUAAGUCUGGCCACCAUUUCAGGGAAACAUGGUAGAGGGGGUUGUGUACCAGCCAACUGUGCCGAUCGAUUAAUACACUAAUUGAAGAAUGGCUUGAUCUACGCUUGAGAUGUUCAUUGUCGCCGGAGCACCGAAGAAGCGCAGAACGGCAAGCCAUCCGUACAUGAUCAACUUUGCUCAAUGCACAAUGAUUCAGGAAGUUACUUCUCAGCCUGAGAAUUUCCCUCUGUAUCAUAUAAUGCUUAUCAUUUGAUGUUCUGGAAGCAUGUAUAGCAGAUGCAUAUUUUAAGGUUUCCUUUAUUCUGCACUACAGAUGUUAUUGGGGCUUUUAUGUGUCAAUCAUAAGAAGAACCUGUAAUAAAAGUCGCCUCUAUACCAGACCUCUUCUAGCACAGAAUGUAGUUGUUGUACUGAAUUUGUUUUGAUCUAAAAUAUUUUUUUAUGCGAGGUAUAUUUCUCGAAUUGUGACAUAACUAUUAUAGUUUUCACAAUAGAGUAGAAUUGUAUUGAUUGCUAGAGUAAUAGAAAUUUUGGUGUGCCGACAUAGUGCAGGAGUCAUGGUACAUCAAUAUACAUCAAUUUUUUCUUUUCUUGGUUACUUCAGUUCCUUUUUUUUUUAUUUCAUGUGAAUCUUUAAGCAAGUCGGGACGAUGCAAAUUAUGUAAGCACAUGGUACAAUGCUGCCAAUGAAUAUACACUUUUAAAAUCAGAUACAAUCCAAUCAACAAAUUUCUGUCCAUUUGCCAUGAAGUAAUCCCAGAUCCUAGGAAACAUGUUGUGCAGUCCAAUAAGAUUACUUAUAUCAUCAGAACUUUCUCAAAACAUCUACUUUUGUCAGGUUUCUCAUGUCUUACAUGCAUCCCGGCAAACUCCACUUCAUGGAAAAUUUUUAAGCUAGCAUUCUAUUGCCAACUAUGACUUGCUUUUGUUGAAGAUUAAUUUCCGUAGGUAUUAAUAGUUUAAUACAUAUUAUAUGUUUUGAGGUGUGUAUCAUUUUAUCUACUCUAUGAUAUAUUUGAAAUCUCCUUUUUAAAAUGGGGUAUUUGUGUCAAUGAAUAUUCCAAGGAGACAUAUUCGAUCUGCAUGGGUGGAAAGAAAUUAUAAUUCUUUGUACACACUAUUGCCGUGUAAAAAUAUAGGGAGGACAUUCGAAAUGACCACAAUGAUUUGAAGUUGUGUUUGUGUAUAUGUUAAAAUAGCUCAUAAUGAAUUUAUAUUCAAUUUAGAUGCGCCAGAUUUUCGUUGCUUCACUGACGACUAAUUAAUAAGUGGCGUUGGUCUGAAAAUGCAAGUACCUUGCUUAUAUUAGUUAAUGAGAGAUCUGAAUAGUGUGACUUGCAGGAAACAGAUAUUUUGCUAUUGCAGUAGCUUGGAUAAUUUUUUCUUGACAAUAUUAUCAAACCAACUGGUACACUUACAAAAGCAAAGCAAAUAGUAACAUUACAAUAACAUAAAAAAGAAGAUAGUGGACAUCACAACCGUGGAACUGCAAAUCCAUUGAUCAUUGUUCAUGAGAGGUAUAGUAUCUUAUGAAAAUGGGAAAUUAAAUAAGCUUAUGCAAGGUUACGUACUUAAUAGUAAAUGGAAGAAUGUAUAUUCUCCAGUAAGUCACUCCCACUGUUCCUGGAAUUAGCUGGAUUUUCCUGAGAAGUUGUUUUCAUUGAGGAACCCAACAUAGGAAUGAAAAGGUACUGGUAGUAUCCAUGUUGUUCUCUUCAUUUAUUAAGAUGUGAUUAUUUCCACUGGUUAUAGGAAGAUUCUGUUAUAGGAACGUAAUUGCUUGGUAUAUUUAUCAAUUUCUAACUUGCUUACUCUUACAGAUUGUAAAGCCUGCUCAUGUAGUUCUAUGUGAUGAAUGCACCAAAUCCUUUCAUGAUUUGAUUCGAGGAACUCAUAGCAUCAAAGACACAUUGACUACACACUCAUUUUCACUCAUUAUUAGAUGAAGUUGGUGUCAGGGAAUAAGUCUAAUUAAGGCAAUGCAUACUCUGGAAUGGUUGUAGCACUCUGCUGGUUGCAAGAGGUAUAACACCAUGUCUCCUUUAAUUAGUCAGUUGGUAUCCGGCGUAUACCAAUUAAAGGUGAAAAAUUCUUACUUUUAGUUAUAUUACAGUUUAAGUCAAGUCAUACCCCAGUCCUACUCAGUUUGAUACUAACUCAAAAUGUUAUUUUUCCUUUAGAACUUUGAAUUGCUAAUAUUUUUUAUGGUUCUGCAACAAUGGUUAGCAAGUUUAUUGUUGGCUAUGUUGGCAUUGGAUGAUUCCAUAUUUCAGUCCCAUGAUAUAUUGUUGUAAAAUGUGAUAUAUGGUUCAGACGUACCAUUGUGUGUAUUACUAUUUGACAUACGCAUACAUAUCAUAUAUCCAGUUGGCAAUGAAGUUAGCAUGUUGUCAUAUCUAGCCAACGAAUAAUCAAAGAUGGUUUUUUAAGAACUAAACAAUUUCUUUGGGGCAUCGUAGAGGCAGUAGUAGGCCGACAUGGUUGACUUUAUUAAAAUUCUUUUGAAAUUAGCAGUUCAGGAACACAUAAAUGAUUAAAUUUUAGAUAUAAUGCAAUGAUUUUGCACCGUUCAGGUUAUAAUGUUGUUGAAUCUGUCAAAAACUAAGGUGAUAAUACAUAUGAGGGAUGUAGAUGACCUCCACACAAAGUAUUCUGAAAUGGAGCAAAUAAGAAAUUUUAUAAGGUCAAUUUUUGCUCUAUUCCGGUGGGCAUGUAUUUGCUUAACUUAGUCAACACAUGAGAAUUUUCAGUCUCUUGCUCUACUAAAUCUCACAAUGAGGAACGGCCAUAGGUUGUGGAACCCAAAUGUUAGUCAAAGGGUUCGGUGUGGAACAAAGUUGAGACUUUGCAACAAUAUCUUGGAGAAGAUUAUGCAAUAGAUCUGUAGACAACUUAUUUGUAGUCCUAGCUUAAACUAAAUUUUUUUAAAAGAUAUUUGUUGCAUCCUACAGUAUAUUGUGCAGACGAGAUGAAUAUGGAAGACAAGACAGAAUACAUGCCUUCUCCCUGGAGAAUGAAAGAUUAAGGGAGGAGGGAAUAUGAAGGAAAAUAUCAUUUAUCCCACACAUUUUUGUUCAGGUUGCGACCUUGAUUGAAUAUGUGAGCUUAGGCCAAAGACCAAAGAAGAAACAUGUAUCAGGCAUAAACUUAGAUAUCGAAGGCGCACGAGCAACCUUUGCCGCCUAUCAGAAGGAAGGGGACGCAGAAGGAAGGAGAGCGUCUCCUCAACUAGAUAGAAGUCGGCUGCCCAAAUGAUGACAAUGUUGUUCCACGGGGAGCUCACGAGUGGCACUGUUCCUUCACACAAUAGCUCAUGGAAAUUGAACGAAGUAGGAAGAAUCAAGAUGAUUGUCCAGUCCUGCCAUGUGUUCUACUGUUUUUUUAGGCUCUGGUUAGAUUAGCAAAUGUGUGUCAUGUUUUAAAUUGAACGUACUGUUUCAUUUUUGUUGGAUGGUGUACUGAAAUUUGGGACGAGAUACAAACUUAUCGACUAAUCUUCAUGUUAAUACU